UCCCUACGGGAGGCAGCAGUGGGGAAUAUUGCACAAUGGGGGAAGCCCUGAUGCAGCAACGCCGCGUGAGUGAAGAAGUAUUUCGGUAUGUAAAGCUCUAUCAGCAGGGAAGAAGAUGACGGUACCUGAAUAAGAAGCCCCGGCUAACUACGUGCCAGCAGCCGCGGUAAUACGUAGGGGGCGAGCGUUAUCCGGAAUUACUGGGUGUAAAGGGAGCGUAGACGGCGAGGUAAGCCUGAAGUGGAAGCCCGCGGCCCAACCGCGGAACUGCUUUGGGAACUGUUUUGCUGGAGUAUGGGAGGGGG
rnacentral:rRNA from 1 species